UAGCGAUAAAUUCGUUGCCUUUGCCCAUACUCGUUUUCAAAGUCCCAAACUUUCUAUAUAAAUACAGAUACUGUCGAGUCGUCUUCAUAUUCAUCUACUUGUGUCGAAAAACAGUCAUAAAGAAAUACAAAAAAAAAAUGGAAAUCAAAGGUUUUUUUACUGUGUUUUGGUCUUGUUUUUCUUGGGGUUUCAAGGAUGUGUUGAUGGAAGGUUAUUAGCUGAACCCAAACCUGAUAGAGAGGCUAAUGCUGCCUAUGCUCGUUGGUUGGUGUCUCAGAAUUCUUGGGGGAUUUUAAAUACAAUAUCAAUUGAAUUGGAAGGGUCGCCAUUUGGGAAUGUUGUCUCGUUUAGUGAUGGGGUACCCAGCAAAAGCACCGGUGUCCCAUAUUUCUAUUUGAC